rnacentral:lncRNA from 1 species
GCAGAACAUUGCCUCCUCAACUGUGGCUUCUCUUCUAAUACCCAUAUCAAUGUACCCUCUAGCUCCAAGAAGAUCAAACAGAACUCCUUUCUCCGACCAUUUCUCAAACCAGAAAGACGUGUGGCGCCCAUUUCCUAUUUCCUUCCUAUAGAAACUUUUAGCUACCUCCCUUAGUUUCAAUAAUUUUCUCCACAUCCAAGACCCACACUGAGAAUUUAUUUUUACUUCCCAGAAACUCUUAUCCUUCAAGAUGUUAGUUUUAAUCCACUUACUCCACAAAGAAUCUCCAGUCAACAACCUCCAGAUAAGCUUCAAACUA